CUUUUCGCAUUCCCGUGUCCAUCCAGCUAUUACGAUUGACUGACAGAUAACAAGCUAAAUGCCACGCUAUAUGUGAACUAAGCAAGCUAGCUAACGAAUUAGAUAUGGUUACGAGUAGAAUUGCUUAUUUUCAGCUACAGAAAAUAUAGCUAAAGUAGCAUCAUUGAAGUUGGUAUGCUGCGUUGCACUUCAUGGAAUCAAUAAAAAACUGGCGAGUUUGACAGACUACGGCUGGAAGAAAGUGAAGACAACUAACGUUACUCAGUAAGAAAAUGCAGUGCCUUGCCCACACCCAAGGCAGUGACAAGGGAGAGGGAGGCAACAUCCCCAGUCAAGAUCCAGGUGGCAAACUGCUGGCAGACCAUGCCAGAGAACAAAGAAACAAAGAAAGUAGUUUUAUAUUUGUCUCUCACCUUCUUCCCUAAAAAAGUCAUAUUCUGCAAUAAAACGUAGCCUAAGUUAUAUUGGAUAGCCUAUUCUUAUCAAGUAUCUAUUUUCAUGGUGUGAAUGAUGUAAAUUUAUUUUUGUCAAAUAAAAUUAUUAAUUGGCAUCAGGAAGGUGCCUGCAAUGACUGUAUUUAUGCUCUGCAGCCACAUUCUCUGUGUCUGCAUUCGUAGGUCAUGGAUAGGACACACCAGGCCUAGAGCCAUCUUGGGUGGUGCUCACCCCAGGCUGUCAAACCUGGAUAAGGUGUUCUUUGUCCUUGAUGUGAUGUUCCCCCAAGAUGACAUUCUGGUGAAAUCCACCCUACUGGACCAACUAGCCGCCUGGCACAGAACCACUCCUGCCUGACCCAGUCCACUCCUGCUUCUUGCCCCUCACUGUGCUGAGUAAUACAGGGUCACAAACCAUAACAGGCUGGUAAAGUAAGUGAAAAAAGUUGUCAGUGAGUUUCAAGAUAGUAGGUUGCCAGCUAUGCAGCCUCAAAGACAAGAAUAGACACAAAAAGGGUAUCCCCUUUCUUAUCUAGGCACCCUUCAGAGAAUACCAGAGUAUACAUCAUCUGCACAUCUAUCACUCUAGUAUUAAUGUUAAAUUGUAAUUAUUUCACCUCUGUGGCUUAUUUAUUGCUUUACCUCCCUACUCUUCUA